rnacentral:rRNA from 1 species
AGCAGCCGCGGUAAUUCCAGCUCCAAUAGCGUAUAUUAAAGUUGUUGCAGUUAAAAAGCUCGUAGUUGAAUUUCGGGAUCAGUACGCUGGUCGUGCCUCCGGUAUGUACUGGUGUCACUGGUUCCUCCCUUCUGAAGAACCAUCAUGCUAUUAAUUUAGUGUGGUGGGAAAUCAGGACUGUUACUUUGAAAAAAUUAGAGUGUUUAAAGCAGGCUCACGCUUGAAUACAUUAGCAUGGAAUAAUGAAAUAGGACGUUGAUCCUAUUUUGUUGGUUUCUAGGAUUGACGUAAUGAUUAAUAGGGAUAGUUGGGGGCAUUAGUAUUCAAUUGUCAGAGGUGAAAUUCUUGGAUUUAUUGAAGACUAACUACUGCGAAAGCAUUUGCCAAGGAUGUUUUCAUUAAUCAAGAACGAAAGUUAGGGGAUCGAAGACGAUCAGAUACCGUCGUAGUCUUAACCAUAAACUAUGCCGACUAGGGAUCGGAUGAUGUUAAUUUUUUAAUGACUCAUUCGGCGCCUUACG